rnacentral:rRNA from 1 species
UACGUAGGGUGCGAGCGUUUAAUCGGAAUUACUGGGCGUAAAGCGUGCGCAGGCGGCGCGUUAAGACAGGUGUGAAAGCCCCCGAGCUUAACUUGGGAAUUGCGCUUGUGACUGGCGUGCUGGAGUGUGGCAGAGGGAGGUGGAAUUCCACGUGUAGCAGUGAAAUGCGUAGAGAUGUGGAGGAACACCGAUGGCGAAGGCAGCCUCCUGGGCCAGCACUGACGCUCAUGCACGAAAGCGUGGGGAGCAAACAGG